rnacentral:lncRNA from 1 species
ACCAAGAAAUGCAUUGCAGACUCUUGACGUCUUCCUCUCGUCUCGCCUCUCGGAGUCUCGCCAGCAGCAGCGUAGUAGGCCAGUAACAAUAGCGAUUAGGUACUGUAAGCCAUAAGAGUUUAUGGUGGUUUUGUGCGGUUCAACCUUCCAUUCAUUCGCCAGAUGCCACGCCAGUUGAGUUCGCCCUUCAGUAAUUAGGUAAGGGUUUGUGGUGGGUUUGAAGGAAAUGGAAGUGUGGAAACUAUUUGGAGCAGAAGAAUGGAAG